ensembl:snoRNA SNORA74 Small nucleolar RNA SNORA74
UCCAGCUCUCAGUCAGCUGUCCAGACAUUGUGCGUCUGGCUCAGUGUUACAGUGCUGGUAGAGGAAGUCUCUGUACUUAGUCCUCAGCACAGCAGGCUCUGUUUUAGAUUCUGCUGCUGCUGAGACGCUGCAGAGCAUGGCCCACUGAGAGUGGCCUGUCCUGGACCUACAGCAGGACAGGCCUAGUUGAGGGCCCAACACA